AUGUCCAUGUGCACUUUAGUUGACUUACCACACCAUACCUCGCCAUGUUUACAGACAUUUUCUGCCUCCCACAGCAGGCUGCUUAUUUUCUCACCACAUGGGAUGGGAUCCAAGGCAGCUCAGCCACCUCACCUAGCUCCAUUUCCCAGCCGAAACCAAACCAAAUCCUCGCACCACCCUAAAAAUGCACUCCUACUUACUUACAUUCACACUGUCAGAGAUCACAAGGACCCAUCUCAGCCUGCCAAAGGCCCAAAGCAAGGCAGUCAAUCAGCCACCCAGUCGUGGCAUUCGCUGAAACCACCGGCACUUGUAUAA
rnacentral:rRNA from 1 species